GUCACCCUUAUGAUAUUCAGUAAAAUAAUUAAUGAAAAUUGGAAGCCUUAGCCAUCCCUGUCAUAGACAUGUUUGUUUACAUAGAGAUGUGAUUAUUUGUAUCAACAACAUCAUUUUUUGCUUUUUAUUUUUCAAAGGCCAAAGUUUCUUUGGAGAAUAUUUGUAGAGAAGUUCUUGUUUUGCCUAAAUACUCCAUGAUAAAAUUUAAUUUUUACUUUUGCAAAACAAUAUAUUCACAGCUAGAUCAGCUUCUAUCAGGGAGUAAUUUUAAGUUCACAAGUUUAUGGAUUCAAUUCAAGAGAUGGAAGUCACACUUGGAAAAGCUGUAAGAUUGGGACGAUAUUCAAUAUGCAAAGCGGUGUUAUAUCCUCCUUGGAAGGCAUUGGGGGCAUAACUUCAGGCCAAGGGCAACCACGAUUCAUCAAUAACUAACAAAGGCAGGAAGAAGAUAGUUUUCUCAACAUGAAACAAGCAAUGUUCUGAGGGCUCUAAGGACAGGUACAUGAGAAACAAGCAAUGUUCUGAGGACUCUAAGAUAGUUUUCUCAACAUGAUCCAUAUUUGUUCCAAGUCUGGCUUACCACAAUCCCAGCUUCAGCUCAAGUGCACAUUUUUCUUCUGUAUGAUGCUUUAUGUACACUGAAAAUCUGAGACUGGAAUUGUUUAGAAUUCUAUAUUUCUGAAAGAAGCUCUUGAUUCCCAAUUAUGAUUUCAGAUGAUGAUGAUGAUGUGGCACAGCUGCAAAGAAAGCCUCUGUUUUGGAAGACUGACUGGAGUUUCAUUAAAUGCCCAGUUUCCACAAGUUUUAUGCUCUGCUAAAUUCUUCAGGCCUUUUGUGUGCUGAGAAUCUAAGAGUGGAGUCAUAUGUGCAUAGAUUGUUCCAAAGAAAUUAUUCAGCAAAUGGUGUGGUGUGCAUAAGAUACUUGAAUCAGUUUUUAUCAUACACUGAUUUAUGUUCUCAAGUCUAUGAGUUGAAAUUCUUCAAUCCCUUUUCGGAAAAUCUGUAUGAUUGGGACAAUCAUUGAGGGCAUCCUCUAAUCAUCAUCAAUGAUUUAGGCAAAUUUCACAUCUUGGUUGACAACUUUUGCCAAUACAUACUUUUCACUUAAACGCAAUAAAGAGGUAGCUUUCACAACAAGAAACAAGCAAUGUUCAUGUCAGAUUGUAAUUUGGUUAUUUGGAUUUUCGCGGGUUUAGGCUUGUUUAGAUCGAUUACUAUUUUCAGAAUCA